GUAACACGUGAGCAACCUGCCCUAGGCUUUGGGAUAACCCUCGGAAACGGGGGCUAAUACCGAAUAUGACCUCGCAUCGCAUGGUGUGUGGUGGAAAGUUUUUCGGCCUGGGAUGGGCUCGCGGCCUAUCAGCUUGUUGGUGGGGUGAUGGCCUACCAAGGCGACGACGGGUAGCCGGCCUGAGAGGGCGACCGGCCACACUGGGACUGAGACACGGCCCAGACUCCUACGGGAGGCAGCAGUGGGGAAUAUUGCACAAUGGGCGGAAGCCUGAUGCAGCGACGCCGCGUGAGGGAUGACGGCCUUCGGGUUGUAAACCUCUUUCAGCAGGGACGAAGCGUAAGUGACGGUACCUGCAGAAGAAGCGCCGGCCAACUACGUGCCAGCAGCCGCGGUAAGACGUAGGGCGCGAGCGUUGUCCGGAUUUAUUGGGCGUAAAGAGCUCGUAGGCGGCUUGUCGCGUCGACCGUGAAAACCUG
rnacentral:rRNA from 1 species